GUGACAGGUACCUUACUGAACCCUCUGGAAACCAAGAAUAGAGUGAGAGAUCCACUUCAUCCUUACAACAGACACCAAGUGAAAGGUACCUGACUGAACCCUCUGGAGACCAAGAAUGGAGUGAGAGAUCCACUUCAUCCUUACAACAGACACCAAGUGAAAGGUACCUGACUGAACCCUCUGGAGACCAAGAAUGGAGUGAGAGAUCCACUUCAUCCUUACAACAGACACCAAGUGACCUGACUGAACCCUCUGGAGACCAUGAAUGGAAUGAGAGAUAAAUUCUCAAAAUUCUCAAAUUUUCAAAAUUCUCAUUAUUUCCUGGAAUAUCUUAUUUUGAUUAUUUUAUUUUUCCAUUUUUAAUAAAUAAUGCCUUCUUUUACAGGUGGGAAUAAGAGACGCACGUGGACAGAUGAUGAAGUGAAGGCUGUUGAGCGACAUAUGUUUGAUUUCAUAACAAGCCAUAAAGUUUCAGGUAAAACGAGCUGGGAGUCCUGUCUCCACGCAGAGCCAGCAGCUCUGAAAGACAGAGGCUGGGUGUCCAUCAAAAACUACAUCCACAACAGGAUAUAACUGCAUUAAAAAGGGAAAUGAAUGGCUAGUCCAUUUAAAUGCGAGCACGUCUGGGUACAUUUCAGUUCAAGUUAACUAAAGCAAUAGCAAUGGUGCAUUUAGGGUGGGAUGGUCAAUUAUGGAUUUCAUAUUUGUUGUUUAAUACUGUGUUUCACGUUUGUUGUUUCAUGAUCUUCAAGAGCAAUUUGGAAAAUCCUUGAAAAUGUAUGAACAUGUAAAUUAUACUGUAUAUCAGGCAUGUCCCGAUCUGGGCCUGGAGGGCCACCGUCGUGCCUGUUUUCCAGCUCUCCCGGCUGCAUCACACCUGUUUCAGAUGAUCAGUUCAUCAGUCAGCUCUGAUGCAGCACUAGAACAUCCUGGGAGAGCUGGAAAACAAAAAGACAGCGGCCCUUGAGGACCGACCUUGGACACCCCUGCUGUAUAUAAACGUACGUACGAUAUACAAACUUCUCACAAAAGAUAGGCUUAUUAGGUUUGAGGUGAUAUUUCGGAAAAACCCUAAAACAUUUGAAUUCAUCCUAUUUCAAGAAUUUCAAUACUUUUUGAAAAGUUGCUUUUGUCUAACGGUAGCUAAAGAAGUUGCUACACACAUGGCACAAUAUAUCGCCAGAUUCAUUAAAAAUUCUUCAUCGCAGUAUUCACAUUUUGACAUAAUCUUCUUCAGUUCAAACAACCCUCAUCUAUUGCAGUGCUUUGUGUCAUGGAGAGGAGGUGGCAUGUUUUCUGUGUUCAUAAUUUCAUAUUUGUCAGCAAUUAAAAAAUAAGAAAGUGGACUGACCACA